GAAAUGCGAUAAGUAAUGUGAAUUGCAGAAUUCAGUGAAUCAUCGAAUCUUUGAACGCACCUUGCGCUCCUUGGUAUUCCUUGGAGCAUGCCUGUUUGAGUAUCAUGAAAUCUUCAAAGUAAAUCUUUUGUUAACUCAAUUGGUUUCUACUUUGGUAUUGGAGGUCUUUGCAGCUUCACACCUGCUCCUCUUUGUUCAUUAGCUGGAUCUCAGUGUUAUGCUUGGUUCCACUCGGCGUGAUAAGUUAUCUAUCGCUGAGGACACUGUAAAUGGUGGCCAAGGUAAAUGCAGAUGAACCGCUUCUAAUAGUCCAUGGACUUGGACAAUACUUUUAUGAUCUGAUCUCAAAUCAGGUAGGACUACCCGCUGAACUUAAGC
rnacentral:misc_RNA from 1 species